GGAUACAGGUGCUAAUACCGUAUAACACUAUUUUCCGCAUGGAAGAAAGUUGAAAGGCGCUUUUGCGUCACUGAUGGAUGGACCCGCGGUGCAUUAGCUAGUUGGUGAGGUAACGGCUCACCAAGGCCACGAUGCAUAGCCGACCUGAGAGGGUGAUCGGCCACACUGGGACUGAGACACGGCCCAGACUCCUACGGGAGGCAGCAGUAGGGAAUCUUCGGCAAUGGACGAAAGUCUGACCGAGCAACGCCGCGUGAGUGAAGAAGGUUUUCGGAUCGUAAAACUCUGUUGUUAGAGAAGAACAAGGAUGAGAGUAGAACGUUCAUCCCUUGACGGUAUCUAACCAGAAAGCCACGGCUAACUACGUGCCAGCAGCCGCGGUAAUACGUAGGUGGCAAGCGUUGUCCGGAUUUAUUGGGCGUAAAGCGAGCGCAGGCGGUUUCUUAAGUCUGAUGUGAAAGCCCCCGGCUCAACCGGGGAGGGUCAUUGGAAACUGGGAGACUUGAGUGCAGAAGAGGAGAGUGGAAUUCCAUGUGUAGCGGUGAAAUGCGUAGAUAUAUGGAGGAACACCAGUGGCGAAGCCGGCUCUCUGGUCUGUAACUGACGCUGAGGCUCGAAAGCGUGGGGAGCGAACA
rnacentral:rRNA from 1 species